rnacentral:rRNA from 1 species
CGCGCUGUAAACGAUGAGCACUAGGUGUCGGCAAGAGUCGGUGCCGCAGUUAACGCAUUAAGUGCUCCGCCUGAGUACUACGUGCGCAAGCAUAAAACUCAAAGGAAUUGGCGGGACCUCGCACAAGCGGUGGAUCAUGUUGUUUAAUUCGACGAUACGCGAAGAACCUUACCAGGCCUUGACAUACCCGGCAAUGCUAUGGAGACAUAGUGGAGGAUAUCCUGGAUACAGGUGG